CGGACGCGUCGGCGUGACCGUGCGGCACGUCACGUGCGGCGCCAGCGGCCAUGGCGGGAAGCGAACCACGCAGCGGAGGCGUCUCCCCUCAGCCGCACCACAGCGACUGGGGCCGCUUGGAGGCGGCCAUCCUCAGCGGCUGGAGGAACUUCUGGCAGUCGGUGGGCAAGGAGCGGGCAGCGCGGAGCACGUCCCGAGAGGAGGCGGAUGAAGAGGCCAGUACUCUAACACGGCUGCCGAUUGACGUACAGCUGUACAUUUUGUCAUUUCUUUCACCUCACGAUCUGUGUCAGUUGGGAAGUACAAGUCAUUAUUGGAAUGAAACUGUACGAGAUCCAAUUCUAUGGAGAUAUUUUUUGUUGCGGGAUCUUCCUUCUUGGUCUUCUGUUGACUGGAAGUCUCUUCCUGAUCUAGAAAUCUUAAAAAAGCCUAUAUCUGAGGUCACCGAUGGUACAUCUUUUGACUACAUGGCAGUCUAUAAAAUGUGCUGUCCAUACACAAGAAGAUCCUUGAAAUCUAGCCGUCCUAUGUAUGGAGCUGUCACCUCAUUUUUACACUCAUUGAUCAUCCAGAAUGAACCACGAUUUGCUAUGUUUGGACCAGGUUUGGAAGAAUUGAAUACAUCUUUGGUGUUGAGCUUGAUGUCUUCAGAGGAACUUUGCCCGACAGCUGGUUUGCCUCAGAGGCAGAUUGAUGGUAUUGGAUCAGGAGUCAGUUUUCAGUUGAACAACCAACAUAAAUUCAACAUUCUGAUAUUAUAUUCAACUACCAGAAAGGAAAGAGAUAGAGCAAGAGAAGAGCAUACAAGUGCAGUUAACAAGAUGUUUAGUCUACAGAAUGAAGGGGAUGAUCAACAAGGAAGCCGGUACAGUGUAAUUCCACAAAUUCAGAAGGUGUGUGAAGUUGUUGAUGGGUUCAUCUAUGUUGCAAAUGCUGAAGCUCAUAAAAGACAUGAAUGGCAAGAUGAAUUUUCUCAUAUUAUGGCAAUGACAGAUCCAGCUUUUGGAUCUUCAGGAAGACCAAUGUUGGUUUUAUCUUGUAUUUCUCAAGCAAAUGUAAAAAGAAUGCCCUGUUUUUAUUUGGCGCAUGAGCUACGUCUGAAUCAUCUAAACCACCCAUGGAUGGUUCAGGAUACAGAGGCUGAAACUCUAACUGGUUUUUUGAAUGGCAUUCAGUGGAUUCUUGAAGAAGUAGAAUCUAAGCAUGCAAGAUGAUCAUUUUAGACCUUGGGAACUGAAAAACCAUUUGAAACUUGUUACUAAGGCCAUGAUGUGGAUAUUUGCUCACUCAGCUCAUUUUGUCCUGCUCUUUUGCAGCUGGAACAUUGGUCUUCUCCAGCCUUCAGACUUGGACUUGGACUGGAACUAUACCAUUGGCUUUCCUAGGUCUUCAGCAGAUUCCUGGGUCUUGACUACAGAUCUUUGGACUUCCAAGUCUUCAUAAUCACGUGAGCCAAUUUCAUACAAUAAGUCAUAUAUCGUAAGAUAUAUUAUAUCAAUUGGAUAUUUUAUAUGUACAUAUCCACUUGUUUCUGUUUCUCUGGAGAACCCAGGCUAAUAUAGCAUGUUGCUGCAUACAAAGCAACUGUUUGAAAUAACCAUAUUAAUAUUUUAAUGAACAAUUUAGUCAUUUUACAUUUUAACAUGACAGCUUGUUACUUAUAUAUGUAGGUAUUUUACUGUGAAUUAGUUAUGUUUUAGGAAAUUGGUUGAGGUUUUGAAUUGAUACAUAAAACAGUAUAAUUUUCCUUAUUUAAAAUAUUGAGAAAUACAUUCUAAAUUAGCAUUUAUUUUUAAAAUGUCUGAUUACAAAUAUAGAUUUCUGAUUUUAAGUGGAAAAUGCUAUACCUAAAAUGGAAAGGCUGGGUCAUAUAUUGUGUGUAUCUUAAACUUGGCUAGAUAAUGCCAAAUUUUUUUACAAAGGUGUGGUUCAAAUAUUUUCGUUAGGAUUUGUGAGAAUUCUGUUGCUUACAUCCUCACUGAUAUGGUAACUAAAUAACCCAAUUUUUGAAGAAAGGUGCUGUUUUACAGAAAAAUGCCAGUUAUAAAACAUAGAAGGAUUGUAGAAUUAGAAAAAAAAAAUUUCACAGACCCAAAUUAUAUUUAUAGAUUAAGGGAAGGGAUUAUUAAUUGGUGUCAAAAUCAUUAAGUAAAUGGUUGAUUGGAAACUGGCCAUUGGUUAAUUGCUAAAAGAAAACCUCACACAUUAUUUUUAAUCACAAGAGUGAAAACCUUAUUUGUGUACUGGAGGGAAAAACAAAAUAACUUAGUAUAAGAAUCAAUCAACUGUAACCUCAUCUAUGGUUGUUAAUUAGAUAUUAUGUGCUUUUUGAUAUAAUGCUACAUUAAGUAUACACCACUGUCUAUGAAUUAUUCUAGGCAAAAAUAUUUAAAUUGGAUUUAUUAAACCUCUAAUAUAAUGUGCAAUUUGUAAGAAAUGCAGGAUAUAGACUAACAAGUUAAAUGAUAGAAUAGCAAAGAAACCAGACAAAUCCAGGGGUAUUCUGCAGAAGAUAAUUGGACUAGGUUUUUUAAAAAGUCAUCCUGAAAAAGAAAUUGUGAUUGAUUACAAGAAACUUAAGGGACAUAAAAUCCAGAUUUAAGUUUGAUCCUACAUUUGACAUUUGAAUGAAAAUACCACCUGUAUGUGAUAUUUUUUGAUCAAGUGAGAACUUUGAAUAUUGUCUUAGUAUUAAGACCUGGAAAUACAGAAAUUAGGUAAUUAGUAGUGGUGGCUCCGCUGGUGAAGGGUUGAUUUAAUUAUGUUUUUCUAAUUUUUUACAAUGCAUAUUCUGCUUCUGUAAUAAUUUUUAAAGAUCACAAACUAGAAAAAAGGUUACUCAACCUAAUGGAUUAGUUUUUAUAAUUGAUUAAUUUUUAAUGGAGUAUGUUCCUGAUAAAAAUUAAGAUAUAAAAGAUAAGUAUGUUCUGCCUAAUAAUAAUUCUAUGCAUGACUAGCAUUUUAUAUGCUAGAUAAUCUCCUGGAAAUAAUAAUUGCUUUGGUUAUUAUUGAAAAGACUACUCCAUAGGGUUACAAUUCAUCUAAUGUUUUCUUCUUCCCCCUUAAUUAUGUGCAUUUUAAUAUGGAUCUUAAAAUAGGUAGAAUGUGUUUUUCUCUAUUCUUCCAGCAUUAUAGUUUUGGUUCCAACAUUUUUAUUUCUGUUAUAUUCAAUUUAUUAAAACAGAAACAAAUUGAUUAAAAUAAAUUAUGAAGGGUUUAUGUAUAGAUGGCCAUCUAUAAUUAUGAAUAGUUAUUAUGCUCCCAUUUACGCACAAACACACACACACACACACACACACACACACACAUAUGUGUAUUUUUAAAAAUAUUCACCUCUUCUUUCUCAUACUAUAUCUUGAAAGCCUGGAUUAUAACCUGUCAGUUUUAUAGCAUCUUUACAUUAAAAUACUUUUGUUGAUUGAUUUAAUCACAAAAACAAAGAUCAGACAAUUUUGGUGCAUGAAUCAACUGAAUAAGUGGACAGUAGCACUGUUGACAUUUUUGUUUAAUAAUUCUUUCUUGUGCAGGCCUCUCCUGUGCAUUGUAGGAUGUUUAACAGUAUCCUUGGUCUCUACCUACUAGAUUCCAGUAGCACACAUAUUCUAGUUGUGACAAUCAAAGAUGUCUCCAGACAUUGCCAAAUGUCCUCUGAGGGGCAAAUACUCCCCAUUGGAGAACCAUUGAAUUAGUGCCUCUAAUCAUACUGACUGAUUAGUCUGCUUAUGUGUUUAUUAGUCCAUCUUAGACAAUUCAAUAGUGCUGUUAUUGAGAAAACUUACACUAAUCAUUGAGUGUUUGGGGUUUAUAUAAGAGGGGUAUCUACCUAGUAAAGAUGAGUAGGGGAGAGGAAUCAUGGAAUGCCUACAUGGAGCCUGGAGCUGAAGUUUGAAGGACAAGAGGGGUUAACCAGGCAGAGGACUAUAGGAACAUGGAGGAAGGAAAGUCACUUUGCAGGGAUAAUGAGGAGUGGGCCUCCAUAGACCAUUGUCAAGGAAGGCUUCUCAGGGAUGUUUGAGCUAUGUCAAACAGGAGAUUGUCAUGUGGACAAAGGUAUAUGUAGGAUGGUGUUGGAAAAGUUCUUCAAUUUUAGUUUCAAAUUGAGGUCAGUAACUCUGCCAAGAGUCCUUUUGAGACAUGGUAUAAUUAGUCUUAUGAAAUAAAAACAACAACAACAACGAUUGCAUAUGCCAAUAGUAAUUUCUUUGUACUGUAGACGGUCAUCAUAUUUUUUAAAUUACAUAUUUAAGAAAAUUAUAGAACUCAAAAAGGUUGCAGCAACAAAUACAUGAGAAUAUUCAUUGCAGCUUUAAUUUCUAAAUUUUGAGAAUUUUCCAGAUAUGUUUCUCUUAUUGAUUUCCAGUUUAAUUCUAUUAUGGUCUAAAGACAUACUUUGUAAGAUUUUUAUUCUUUUAAAUUUACCAAAGUUUGUUUUAUGGCCCAGAAUAUAGUCUAUCUUGUUAAAUGUUCCAUUUGUACUUGAAAGAAAUGCUUAUUUAGAUGUUGUAUGGAGUGUCCUAUAAAUGUCAAUAAUAGAACAUUAUAUUGACAGAUUGGUUGAUGAUGUUGAUUAUUUCUCCUAUAUCUCUGCCAAUUUCCUGUCUACUUGUUCUAGCAAUUAUUGAGAGGCAUGGUGAAGUGUCAAACUAUAAUCGCAGAUUUAUCUAUUUCUCCUUUCAGCAUUCUUUUUGUUUUACGUAUUUUGAGGUUAUGUUGAGGUUAGGUGUGUACACGUUUAGAAUACUUAGGUCUUCUUGGAGAACUGACCCAUUUAUUGUUAUGUAAUUUUCCUCUUAAACCUUGGUAAUAUUUCUUGUUCUAAAGUAACUUUAUGUGCUAUUAUUAUAACCACUCCAGCUUUCUUUCAUUGAUGUUUGCAAGGUUUAUUUUUUCCUAUUAGUUUUACUUUUAACCUAUCUGUGGUUUUAUAUAAAUGGAGUUCAUUAUAAAUAGCAUAUACUUUUUUAAAAAAUCCAAUCUGGCAAUCCCUGUUUUUAAUUGUUAUGUCUAGAUUAUUCACAUUUUGUCAUUUUUGAUAUGGUUGGAUUAAAAUCUACAAUCUUGCUUUCUAUUUCUUCCAUCUAUUCUUCAUUUCUUUUAACCUCUUUUACUGUCUCCUCUUUGGUUAAUUUGGCAUUUUUCUUAUGAUUCCAUUUUAUCUUCACUAUUGACUUAUUAUUUAUACUUAAAUUUUUUUUUAAUAUUUUCCCUAGAGUUUACAAUGUAUAUCUUCAGUUAACCAGAGUUUGCCUUUAAAUAAUAUUCUGUUUCAUGUGUAGAGUUUGUUUUUCUUUAUACAGUACUGACUUUGAAAGAGUAUAUAAUCAUACCUACUACUAAUUACAUUAUUAAAAAUUCUGAAAACUAUACACUUUCGACUGUGGCUAGCAAAUGCUUAACAACUGCCUCAGGGGAAAAAAAGAGCCCUAUUUUGUAGUGUUUGAUGAUUUCUGUGGCUUAACCAUUUCAACCAUGACCAAUUUCAGGCUACCACUGUGACAUCACUGAAUGUGGACUUAGGAAAAAAAACCACUGCACUGAGUCAGUGCAAGCAGGUUCUGGCACACACUGCUUAGCCCAGAACAUCCCUGAUGUUUCUAAGCCAUUUUUUUUUUAGUUCUUGGGUAAUAUAUGUAUUUCCAGGACCUACAACUUUAAAUUCUCAGGCUUUCCAAUAUCCAAGGAGUCUGCAGCUACAUGUUUCACCCUUUGCAAGUUUAUCUUCUCUUAUUGCUAAAGACUUCAAGUUCAUUACAAAUGAUCAUAUCCCCUUCAUAGGAUUUCUUCUGCUUUCAAAAAUACCAUUAGAGGCUUCUAUAUAUUAAUUUGUAUUAACAGGACCUGAAUCAAUCUAAAAGCAAAACAAAAGGAGAUGCAUCAGGCCAUUCUGCAGUUAAGUUCUUUGUGACAGAUAGCUAGCCCCAGGUCAGUUCCCCUAACCUUGAGGCUUAAAGCAGACAUAAUUUUGGGAAAGAAUCUGAGAAGUUUAGGGAGCAACCUUUGCAUGUUUUCUUACCAAGAGAAUGUGAAGCAUGGGUUUGAUAUAGGUUAGCCAGAGGUCUGUGUUGUAAAGAUCCAAAAAUAGCUGCUGUGGUGCUCACUACUAACCCAGUGUGAGUCAAGUGGUGACGAUGGCCUGACAAGAGGAGAUCAUAAGCUGUUAUUUACAACAGAAUUGGGGAAAUGGAACAAGUACUGAACAUUUGGUAUCCUCUGGGAGAGUCUGUUUUGACACAGCCUUAAGAGUAUUUCAAUUCCAAUGUCUCUCUACAGAACAGAGAGCCCAAGUCACUCAUGGUAACUUUUCUGUAACUUCAAAAAAAUUUUUCCAGGGGGUCUGUGUUGAAUAGAAAAAUUACAGAAGCUAUGCUAAAUAGUUUUGACUGAGAACUCAAAUUCUGAGACUAAGAAGGUUCAUAAAGAGGCUACAGUAUAUAUUCAGUUACAUUUUGAAUAAUAGUGAACUUUACUGAGCAAGCACAUAGGUUAGUACUUUCUUGUGUUAUCUUUUCUCCACAUUCCAGCAUGAAAAUAGUAAAAAGGUAUCGAAAGACUCUUGAAGCUAAUUCCUCAUUUCUUACUCCCUUUUCUUUAAACUCCAUAUAAUUCACGAUCACUAAUUUAUCAACAUUCUUCUAAAAAGAGAAAUUGGAACAUAAAACACUUCUUUAUGAUAAAUAAAAGCUUAUAGGCAGAAGUUAUAAAUCAUUCAAUUUUCCUUAGGGAUAGUUAUUCCAAAACAUUCCUUGGUGAAAUAUUAUUGCUAAUUAAUCACCUUUACAGCCAAGAAAUUCAGACUUCUUUUUGUCAAAUAUAUGAUUUUGUUUUUCCAUGAGCUAAAGAAUACUUACUUAGGUUUAUCCUAAUAAUAACAACUUAAAUAAGAACAUUUUAAGUUACACUAUAGCUAUGUCCCCAUUUUUUUUCUUUUAAGCCAUGUAUUUUUUCCCAGAGAUAAAAGGAAUAAAUAUUCAUUAUUUUGAAAAUUAGAAAAAUGUAGAUAAGACUUAAAAAUAAAACAGAAAAAUCAAUCAUAACCCAACACUCAGAACUACUAUUAACAUUCAUAGUAUUUUACCUGCAUCUUUUUGUGUACAUAAAUAUUUUUUAAAAUUGAAAUUAAAUUGUAUAUACAGUUUCAAAUAUUAACAUUUCUACCUAGUACAUAUAAAAGAGACUUUUCCUGUCCUAUAAAACAUUUUGACUCUAAUUAUUUUUUGCUGAGUCAUAUUCUAUGGAUGCUUCAAAUAUUCCAUCAAUAAAAUCCCCUUUCUUAUAACUUCAAAAUCCCUUUCCUAUAGUUCUUUAUAGUUUCAAAAUCCAAACAGCUGUGAAAAGAAAAGUGUUUUUGUAACUGAGCUGGCCUUAUCUAAUUUGGUAGCAAGAUUCACCUAAACUAAUGUGAGGCUAUUUAUCAUCUAUAUUUAUUCUGCUUAAAGUAAUAUAUAUCACAGCAGAAAUAUUAAUGGAUUAUGAGAUGUUCUCUUAUCCCUGAGGUAUAGUCAAUGCAUUCUAAAGUCCAAAAAAUGACGACUUUAAAAAAAUUCCUUUCCAAGGGCUUCAGAUCAGAGAUUAUGGAUUUGUUUUAGAUGUUUUGUUGCUUUCGUUAAUAAUAUUUCACUGAACAUUCAUAUGGUUACAUCUUUUAGAUACUUUGUAUUAUUUCUAUGGAGUUAUCCUUUACUAAAUAAAAAAAUGUACAAGCAUUA